rnacentral:rRNA from 1 species
UACGAAGGGGGCUAGCGUUGCUCGGAAUCACUGGGCGUAAAGCGCACGUAGGCGGCUUUCUAAGUCAGGGGUGAAAUCCUGGAGCUCAACUCCAGAACUGCCUUUGAUACUGGAGAGCUUGAGUCCGGGAGAGGUGAGUGGAACUCCGAGUGUAGAGGUGAAAUUCGUAGAUAUUCGGAAGAACACCAGUGGCGAAGGCGGCUCACUGGCCCGGUACUGACGCUGAGGCGCGAAAGCUAGGGGAGCGAACGGG